UACGUAGGGGGCGAGCGUUGUCCGGAAUUACUGGGCGUAAAGGGUGCGUAGGUGGUUCAGCAAGUUGGAAGUGUAAUACCCAGAGCUUAACUCGGGUGCUGCUUUCAAAACUACUGGACUUGAGUGUGAGAGAGAAAAGUGGAAUUCCUAGUGUAGCGGUGGAAUGCGUAGAUAUUAGGAGGAACACCAGUGGCGAAGGCGACUUUUUGGCUCAUAACUGACACUGAGGCACGAAAGCGUGGGGAGCAAACAGG
rnacentral:rRNA from 1 species